GCAGAAUAUAUUGAACAUAGUACAUUAAGAUUGUUUGCAGAUGAUAGCAUUAUUUAUAGGGAAAUUAAAAAACCAGAUGACACACUUAAAUUACAGUCUGACUUAGAAGCGGCCGGCAGGUGGGAGCAGGACUGGCUCAUGCAUUUUCACCCUGAUAAGUGCAACAUUCUCAGUGUAACUCAAAAACGGAAACCUUUAGACU
rnacentral:lncRNA from 1 species